CGCAGGAGCUUGCUAACAGGCAGCGUCCUCAGGCUCUCGUUUGGUCCUUUCUAUAAGGAGGUGAAUGCAGUGGGCCAAGGGCAGUGUGACCAGACGUCCCCGAUUUCCGGGGACAGUCCCCGUUUUCGGUGAUCUGUCCCCGGUCAAAGCUGUCCCCGGAAAUGUCCCCGAUUUUGACACUGAAUGGGGGAAAAAUCCGCGCAGACUCAAACACCAGUUAUUACUGUAGUCAUUUAACGCAUCACCAGAGAAGACGUCGUAUGACGUACAGAUGUUAUCAAGACGCACGACCAGACGCAGCAGCGUCAACAACAACAAUCUAGAGGCGGCAAAAAGGAAAAAGAGAAGAUCAGCGGUCAUAAAUGUAAAGGUGAAAUAAAGAAGUAAACAACAGAGUGAAGGAGAGAAGAGGAAAAGAGCAGGAGAAUAGUGUGGAAAGGCAGAAAUAAAGAAGUAAACAACAGAGGGAAGCUAAGGAGAGAAGAAAGAAGGGUGAAGAAAAGAAAAGCAUUGAAGGAGAAGAGAACAGACGAGAGGCAAAAAGAGUAGAGGAGAAGAUGGCUCUUUCAAAGAAGCGCAAAUGCCAUUUUACAGAACAAAUCCAGAAAGAAUUUCCAUUUAUACGCCCCUGUCGCCCAGGCCAAGACGACACAGUGGUCCACUGCACCCUUUGCCAGUCUUCUUUUUCAAUUGCCAGUGGGGGGAGAUAUUCUGUGGUGGAGCAUCAGCAGACAAAAAAACAUAAAAAAGGUCUGACUGCCAAUGCUCUUACGCCCACUAUCACCACAUUCUAUAAGAAGACAGAGCCUUCCCAAAAGGAGUUCGAGUUAGCUGUGCAGGAGGGCAUCUUGGCGUACCACACUAUGAAACACAAUCAUAGUUACCGAUCUAUGGACUGCACAGCACAACUGACAAAGAAGCUUUAUGAGCCAAAGUUUUCCUGUGGCCGGACCAAAGGUGA